CAAGAAUCCAAGCAUCAAACAACAAAUCUGUUCUCUCUGGUUACCCAGAGUUGAGCACUGUAACCAACUGCACUCCAAAUGAGCCACGUGCAGUUUUGAUGACCAGAUAUGUGGAUGGAGGAAAAAAAAAAAAGAUAACUCUGGCAAGACUGAGCAUCCAUCUUUUGGUAUCUGAGAAUGGAGCAAAGAAAGAGAAUCCUGA
rnacentral:lncRNA from 1 species